GAGGAAAAUGAUAAUCCUUUCACCAUAUGAUGGGUGCUGGAUAUAAUGUUUUUCAUUGCAUUCUCUUUGGAAAAGUCAAACCAGGACUUUCAUCCUC